rnacentral:rRNA from 1 species
UUAUAAAUAUUUUUUUAUUCUUAUUUAAUUUUAUAUAUAAAAAAUAUUUAUUUUUUUAUUAUUACUUUAGAAAAAAAAUUAAUUUUUUACAGUAAUGGAUUUAGUUUUAAUUUUAUAAGUAUAUUUAAUUUAUAGUACCUUUUGUAUCAGGGUUAAUUAAUUAAUAUAUAUUAAUAAUAUAUUUCUCGAAAUUAAAAGAUUUAUAAUAAUAUAAUAGUUAUUGUUAUAUAAAUAUUAAUAAUAUUAUUAUAGAAGUUAUAUAUUAUUCGAUUUUAAUAUAUCUAGUUAUUUAAUAAAUAAAUUAAAUUUAAAAUAUAUUAAUAUUAAAAUUAUUUAAUUUAUAAUAUUUAAUAUAUUCAAUAUAUUAAGGGAUAAGCUUUAAUUUAAUAUUAAAAAAUUUUAUUUAAUUAAAUUAUAGUAGAUUUAAAAAUUAUCAUCAUUUAUAUUGUUAUAAUAAUAAUUAAAUUAUAAAAUAUUUAUUUAAUUUUUAAUAGUUUAUUAAAUUAUAAAUUAUAAUGAUUAAGAUUUAUUAAUAAUGAUUAAAUAAGUAAUUAUUUAAAUUUAGUUUUAUGAAUUCGGCAAUUAAAAUUUUCAAUUGUUUAACAAAAACAUUUUUUAAAGAUUUAAUUUUAGAUAUAAUCUGCUCAAUGAAUAAUUUUUAAAUAGCUGCAGUAAUUUAACUGUACUAAGGUAGCAUAAUCAUUUGUUUUUUAAUUGGAAACUAGAAUGAAAGAUUUAAUGAAAAAUUAACUUUAUUAAAUUAAAUAAAUUAAUUUAAUUUUUUAGUGAAAAAGCUAAAAUAUUUUUAUAGGACGAGAAGACCCUUUAAAACUUUAUUAUAUUAUUAAUGAUAAUUUAUUUAAUAAUUAAUUAUUAAGCGUAUAAUUAAAUUGGGGUGAUUAGUAAAAAUUAUUAACUUUACUUUAUAUAUUUCAUUAAUUAAUGUAUUUUUUAUCCAAUAAUAUUGAUUAUAAAAAUAAGUUACUUAAGGGAUAACAGCGUAAUUUUAUUAGAGAGUUCAUAUUGAUAAUAAAGUUUGCGACCUCGAUGUUGAAUUAAAAUAAUAUUUAUAUGUAGCAGUAUAAAUUAUAAGUCUGUUCGACUUUUAAUAUUUUACAUGAUUUGAGUUCAAAUCGGCGUAAGCCAGAUUGGUUUCUAUCCUUAAAAUAUAUUAAUAUGUUUGUACGAAAGGACCAUAUAUUAUAAAUAAUUUAUAAAAUAAUUAGUUAUAUA